AGGAGGAUGGACAGGACCCUCAGAACGCAAAAGAGCAGGGGAAGCACACCCUGUUCUCCCCACUGUACAUUGCAGACACUUUGCAGAGAUCCAGAGCUCAGUGGAGAUGCCAGAGAAGUCCUGUGGGCGUGUGGCCUACAGCCAGACUGCUGCUGUUCAGGACCUGUAAUGUAUUCACUGCUCUCAUGACCAAAAAUUGAAAAGAUUUAACUGAGGCCUGUGUCAAGGGCUGGUUUUAGCAGGC